UACGUAGGGUGCGAGCGUUGUCCGGAAUUAUUGGGCGUAAAGAGCUCGUAGGCGGCUUGUUGCGGUCGACCGUGAAAACCCGGGGCUCAACUUCGGGCUUGCGGUCGAUACGGGCAGACUUGAGGCAUGCAGGGGAGAACGGAAUUCCUGGUGGUAGCGGUGAAAUGACGCAGAUAUCAGGAGGAACACCGGUGGCGAAGGCGGUUCUCUGGGCGAUGUUCUGACGCUGAGGAGCGAAAGUGUGGGGAGGCGAACAGG
rnacentral:rRNA from 1 species